AUGCCAUGUAUUUACAUUCCACUAAAAAGUAGCCACCUUUUUUGUUUCUCUCUGUUUGUUCUUUUCUACCUUAUUAUACACAUCUUAGUGAACACAAAGACUACAGCAAAUCAAGGGACACAUAUGCAGGCUACGAUGAGGAUGAUUACACCAACAUGGCUGAGCAGAACAUAUACGGGAAUGUCUGAUGUCUGAUCACCUCUUUUUGUACUGCAUUUCUCAUUUUAUGUCAGUUUAUAUCCAUUCUAGUUUCAAAACCUGUUUCAGCAAAUUCCACCCAAUUUUAAAAAUUUCUUUAUAAUUCAGAUAUAAACAGAGAUAUAAACAGUGUCAUUCAGAAUGUUUUGAUGUGAAAUAGAAACUUACAGACUGAGUUUUCUUUACAGUGGUGGUGAUGGGAACCAGGAGUCCUGAUGUCUACAAUUCAAAAAUAGUCAUUUUGCAUACCAUCCAAAACACCAGUGAACCUAUAAAUGUAUUUUGAGUUUCUUUAUGUAAUGUUGAUUAUGGUAAAAUAGUGGUAAAUCUGACAUCAUGAAGUGUAUUCAUAACUAUCUCAUGUAAUAAUUAAUUCUAAUAUGUUAUUUUCGAGUAGCCUGUGCAUUAUCUUAGCUGAACUAUUUAUAAUGGGCCUCAGCAUAUUGUGGCCUCAUCUUGCAUUUAUAUACUUUGUGACUUUGAACGUGCUCGUUGUGGACAUUCUCUUUCAUUAGCUAAAUACUAAAUAUACUAAAAAAUCAGCUAAAUAUUAAAUUCAAUAGCCUUUUAAGAAAUGUUUGAUGCAGUAUGAUUAGUCGUCAAUUUUUGUUUCUAUUUUUUCUUUUUACUAAAGUUUAAAGGAGAAAGUAGGGUAACACUUUAUUUGCAUGGUCCCCUGUAGAUGCUUUGUAGUUACUCAGUCUGUCUUUAACUAGCUUUCAGCUAAAUCAAUGAAAUGCAAUUAAACUUGAAGUUGAGUCUGAAAGAUUUUAUUAAAUCUUACCUAAAUAUUAAAUCUUACCUAAAUCUAAACCUAACCUUACUCAAUGAGUAUCAUCAGAAAUUAACAGUUUGUUAAUAAUGUAAGUAUCUGUAGAUCAUCUAUAGGGGACCAUCCAAAUAAUGUGUGACUGAAAGUAACAAGAUUAGCUUAGUGUCUCUUGAGAGCUCACUUACUUGUGUGUCAGAGCAACCAACUUAUGAAAAUACUUUGUUAUGAAAUGAUUAGUUUUAUUAUUAGUCUUAAUGAACUUGCAUUGUUAUAGAGGCCGGUCAUGUAAUGUCAGUAUUCAUAAUGUUUAUUCCUAAUCCUAAUGCCUAUUCCUAUGCACAUUUUAAGUACACUUUCAAGGACACUCACUGUGGGCAGUACAUGGCUACUAAUUUAAUGUGAGGUUAAUGUUGAUUCCUUAUAGCUUUGUUUUAGAUAGAUGGGAAUAAGGCAGCAUCUUGCCAGUGCAUAGACCCCAGUAAACAGAUGUACUUUGAAUGUGAAAGUCUCUUGUAAUGAGAGUUCUACUCAUGCGUUUUAAGGCACGCCACAGAUGUGCAAAAAUAGGAAGGGGGAGAGCUUCAUCUGAGUGAAAGAUGAGAUAUGUUUUUUUUCACUGUGUAGAGUUUCACUUCCUCCUGCAGAUUACUUAUUAAUAAAUGCUUCACAUUUUCCACCCAUCAACACAGUGAAGGGGGCAUGCAUGUAAAUAGACGUGUGUUUGUCAACUACAGUUGAAAUAUUUAUAAUGUACUGAGAUACAGACAUCAAUCUUUGUUGUUACUGACUAAUGAUAACUGUGAUGAGAAGUUUCUUUUUCUUUUCUUUGACCAGGGCAGAUUUAGAUUUUUUGAAAAUAAAUACAAGAGAAUGUCAGCUUCCUUUUAAUAUUAAAUUUUUUAAAAUCAAUUUGUCAGUCUAUCUUUUCAAUAAUUCAUGCUUCAUGUAUUCAAACAAUGCAACAGCAGUGUAACAAUGUAUGACACAAAGACUUCCAAAUUUCAUUGUUGCUUCAGAUGUUUUAUAACGUGGUGAUUGUAAUCAUUUGAUAUUUUUCUUUCAGAGUCAAUAAGUGAAAGAUGUAAUUAGUGUAUGUAUUAGUGUAUUUAUUAGACUGUAUUACAUUAUUAAACAAAACAAAAAUCAUGAGAUCACCAUCAAAUCAUUUUACCCUCAUCCAACUACAACUUCCCACAGUGCACAGCAUUUCAAACAUUAAUAUUUUAUACAAACAAAAACAAUAAAGGCCAUAAAUAAUAAAGGGCCAUAAAAAAUG
ensembl:lncRNA